rnacentral:rRNA from 1 species
GAUGAACGCUGGCGGCGUGCCUAAUACAUGCAAGUCGAGCGAACGGACGAGAAGCUUGCUUCUCUGAUGUUAGCGGCGGACGGGUGAGUAACACGUGGAUAACCUACCUAUAAGACUGGGAUAACUUCGGGAAACCGGAGCUAAUACCGGAUAAUAUUUUGAACCGCAUGGUUCAAAAGUGAAAGACGGUCUUGCUGUCACUUAUAGAUGGAUCCGCGCUGCAUUAGCUAGUUGGUAAGGUAACGGCUUACCAAGGCAACGAUGCAUAGCCGACCUGAGAGGGUGAUCGGCCACACUGGAACUGAGACACGGUCCAGACUCCUACGGGAGGCAGCAGUAGGGAAUCUUCCGCAAUGGGCGAAAGCCUGACGGAGCAACGCCGCGUGAGUGAUGAAGGUCUUCGGAUCGUAAAGCUCUGUUAUUAGGGAAGAACAUAUGUGUAAGUAACUGUGCACAUCUUGACGGUACCUAAUCAGAAAGCCACGGCUAACUACGUGCCAGCAGCCGCGGUAAUACGUAGGUGGCAAGCGUUAUCCGGAAUUAUUGGGCGCAAAGCGCGCGUAGGCGGUUUUUUAAGUCUGAUGUGAAAGCCCACGGCUCAACCGUGGAGGGUCAUUGGAAACUGGAAAACUUGAGUGCAGAAGAGGAAAGUGGAAUUCCAUGUGUAGCGGUGAAAUGCGCAGAGAUAUGGAGGAACACCAGUGGCGAAGGCGACUUUCUGGUCUGUAACUGACGCUGAUGUGCGAAAGCGUGGGGAUCAAACAGGAUUAGAUACCCUGGUAGUCCACGCCGUAAACGAUGAGUGCUAAGUGUUAGGGGGUUUCCGCCCCUUAGUGCUGCAGCUAACGCAUUAAGCACUCCGCCUGGGGAGUACGACCGCAAGGUUGAAACUCAAAGGAAUUGACGGGGACCCGCACAAGCGGUGGAGCAUGUGGUUUAAUUCGAAGCAACGCGAAGAACCUUACCAAAUCUUGACAUCCUUUGACAACUCUAGAGAUAGAGCUUUCCCCUUCGGGGGACAAAGUGACAGGUGGUGCAUGGUUGUCGUCAGCUCGUGUCGUGAGAUGUUGGGUUAAGUCCCGCAACGAGCGCAACCCUUAAGCUUAGUUGCCAUCAUUAAGUUGGGCACUCUAAGUUGACUGCCGGUGACAAACCGGAGGAAGGUGGGGAUGACGUCAAAUCAUCAUGCCCCUUAUGAUUUGGGCUACACACGUGCUACAAUGGACAAUACAAAGGGCAGCGAAACCGCGAGGUCAAGCAAAUCCCAUAAAGUUGUUCUCAGUUCGGAUUGUAGUCUGCAACUCGACUACAUGAAGCUGGAAUCGCUAGUAAUCGUAGAUCAGCAUGCUACGGUGAAUACGUUCCCGGGUCU